rnacentral:rRNA from 1 species
UACGGAGGGUGCGAGCGUUGUCCGGAAUCACUGGGCGUAAAGGGCGCGUAGGCGGCCUGAUAAGUAGGGGGUGAAAUCCUGCGGCUUAACCGCAGGGCUGCCUUCUAAACUGUCAGGCUAGAGCACAGUAGAGGCAGGUGGAAUUCCCGGUGUAGCGGUGGAAUGCGUAGAGAUCGGGAAGAACAUCAGUGGCGAAGGCAGCCCCCUGGGUCAAGACUGACGCUCAUGCACGAAAGCGUGGGGAGCAAACAGG